UACGUAGGGUGCAAGCGUUGUCCGGAAUUAUUGGGCGUAAAGAGCUCGUAGGCGGUCUGUUGCGUCGGCUGUGAAAACCCGGGGCUCAACUCCGGGCCUGCAGCCGAUACGGGCAGACUAGAGUUCGGCAGGGGAGACUGGAAUUCCUGGUGUAGCGGUGAAAUGCGUAGAUAUCAAGCGGAACACCGGUGGCGAAGGCGGCCUUCUGGACAGUGACUGACGCUGAGACGCGAAAGCGUGGGGAGCAAACAGG
rnacentral:rRNA from 1 species